rnacentral:rRNA from 1 species
UGCCAGCAGCCGCGGUAACACGAACCGGACAAACGUUAUUCGGAAUUACUGGGCUUAAAGAGUACGUAGGCGGCUUUGCAAGUUGGGUGUGAAAUCCCUCGGCUCAACCGAGGAACUGCGCUCAAAACUGCUUGGCUAGAGGGAGACAGGGGUAAGCGGAACUGAUGGUGGAGCGGUGAAAUGCGUUGAUAUCGGAAGGAACACCGGUGGCGAAGGCGACUUCCUGGGCCAAUACUGACGCUGAGGCGCGAAAGCGUGGGCAGCAAACAGGAUUAGAUA